GCUUACCAUGCAAGUCGAGCGGUAAGGCCUUUCGGGGUACACGAGCGGCGAACGGGUGAGUAACACGUGGGUGACCUGCCCUCCACUUCGGGAUAAGCCUGGGAAACUGGGUCUAAUACCGGAUAGGACCUUCUGGUGCAUGCUGGUUGGUGGAAAGUUUUUUCGGUGGGGGAUGGGCCCGCGGUCUAUCAGCUUGUUGGUGGGGUGAUGGCCUACCAAGGCGACGACGGAUAGCCGGCCUGAGAGGGUGAUCGGCCACACUGGGACUGAGACACGGCCCAGACUCCUACGGGAGGCAGCAGUGGGGAAUCUUGCGCAAUGGGCGGAAGCCUGACGCAGCAACGCCGCGUGGGGGAUGACGGCCUUCGGGUUGUAAACCUCUUUCGCGAUCGACGAAGGCCUGUUUUCUACAGGUUGACGGUAGGUCGAGAAGAAGCACCGGCCAACUACGUGCCAGCAGCCGCGGUAAUACGUAGGGUGCGAGCGUUGUCCGGAAUUAUUGGGCGUAAAGAGCUCGUAGGCGGUGUGUCGCGUCGGCCGUGAAAACCUGGGGCUCAACUCUGGGCGUGCGGUCGAUACGGGCAUCACUUGAGUUCGGCAGGGGAGACUGGAAUUCCUGGUGUAGCGGUGAAAUGCGCAGAUAUCAGGAGGAACACCGGUGGCGAAGGCGGGUCUCUGGGCCGAUACUGACGCUGAGGAGCGAAAGCAUGGGUAGCGAACAGGAUUAGAUACCCUGGUAGUCCAUGCCGUAAACGUUGGGCGCUAAGGUGUGGGGUCCAUUCCACGGGUUCCGUGCCGCAGCUAACGC
rnacentral:rRNA from 1 species